AUAUUGGAUAUUGGGUUCCACCUAAAGGAUACAUUGAUUCUUCCAUUAGCAUGUUGUAGCAUUUAAUUCUCUUAUAUACUGCCUUUAUCUUUAUGCAUAUGUAGUCCUCUUUCCAUUUUUAUAAAUUCUGUCCUUUCUUUUCCUUUUAGAUAUUGCAUAUGGGGUUAUUGUGCGAAGAUGCUCAAGAGGAUUAUUGCCGUGAAGAAUGUGAUAAGGGAAAGCAAGUAAUGUCUUCAUCACGUGGAUUAGAAAAUGUGUGUUCUGGAUCGAAGUUACAUGCUCCUGCAAAGGUUUUUCAGAGUUUUGUGCCACCAAAGUAAUGUGGUAAGUUUCUUGGUGGCCAUUCUAUUAGCAGGGUAAAGGAGGUACAGACCGGGAAAAUAAGAUAACGACCUAUUGAAGAAGCUCUUGGUCUAUCAUCAGGCACCAAGUGGAUGAAAACUACUAGCUCGUCAAGAGUUGUGUCCACCAAUUAUCUAAAUGUCCUGAGGGUUCUAUCAUUCUGGAGCAUAGGAGUCCCAAUGCUUUGAAUGAGAGUCUAAUGAUACCCAUGACACACCCUUAUGAUCCUGCUCACGAUCCUUCCAGGAAGAAAAGAAUUUGAAGUUUGAGCUCCAGACGUGCUAAAACUCCCUCGAGUCCCGGUUGCCAUACAUUUUGUUGUCACAAGUCUUGGGGAGCCAAUGAUGUUCAGUGGAUUUCCCUUUUUAUUGAGGCUCGAUGGUAGACUGAGUGCUUCUUCAACAGGGAGAUACUUCAUUUUCCCAGUCCGUACCUCCUUUUCCCAGUUAAUACCAUGAGAACCAGGGAACUUAUUGUGUUUCCUUGGUGGCGCAAUGCUCUGACAAAUCUUUUCAGAAGCAUGUAACAUGGAUCCUUUGCCCUUGUCACAUACUUCACAGCAUCAAUCCUUUGGUGGUUCUACACAACAAUUCAACACACAAUAUCUGAAAGGAAAGAAAAAGAAGAAUUUUUUAUAAUAGAAAGUACAUAAGAGAACUAAAUGAAACAACAUGCUAAUGCAAUGUAUCCUCGGAGGUAAUUCCAUUUUCAGAUAUCAAAACAACAUGCUAAUCUCCAUGUGUUCAUCUUUGGGUCUCCGAUUUUUGACUUUUUCGUCUUUCUAGUUAGAUGUCCCAAGCUUUUACGAUCACCGAUUGCAAACUCUUCGAAUUGUGUCCGUUUUAGACAGUUCUUCCCAUUUAAUCGAUGAGAAGUUAACUGGAAGGGCAUGUGAGAAACAUUGCCUCCUUGAGUCAUCAGAUUUGGAGCUUCCAGAGAAGACAUUUUGUCUUCUUUUGAUAUUCCAGAAAGAUAUUUUCCCUGAGAAGCUAUUUUGACCAUAUGGUAUAAGGGGAAAAAUUCCAAGUCUAAUACCAUGAAUGUUUAGAUACUACAAAAAUAUGUUUUUAUUCAUAGAUUUGCACAAUAUUUAUAGGAGAACAAGAAGAUCAAAAGAAUCUAAUCAAUCCCUAAUUCCUAGGAGUUAUGUUGCGCGGACUCAUUGAUUUCACUGCAGAACCCAUCCCAACGUGGCGCUGGUGCGGGGUACAUCUCUGAUUUGGUAAAACAAAUCCGAAGACUUUGAUCUAACUUCAAGAAAAAAGUUGGUUGUCGUCAUCGUAAGAAAAACCGGCGACUGUAUUGUUGUCGUCGUCGGAAGGGAGAAAAUUGGUGACUACUGUCUCCAUCGGAAUCCGGCAAGAAAUCCAGCGACAAUCAUCAUCGGAAUCAGCGACAGCUAUCAUCGUCGGAAUUUGGUGAAUGUAAUUUUUGUCGAUGGAAUUUGAAUCGUUGGAAAAUCCAGCGACAAUCAUCAUCGGAAUCAGCGACUGCUGUCAUCGUCAAAAUUCGGCGACUGUAAUUUUUGUCGAAGGACUUUGAAUCGUUGGGAAGAAACAGAAAGUGGUUGAGGAUUGGGAAGAUGACUCAUCAGAUCUAGUUUUUAAUAAUAUUUUUUAAAAUAUAAAAAAAGUUUAUAUUAAUAUAGUCAAAAGAUAUGU